CAGCAGCCACGGUAAAACAGAGGGUGCGAGCGUUAAUCGGAUUUACUGGGCGUAAAGCGUGUGUAGGUUGUUGUUCAAGUCAGUUGUGAAAUCCCUGGGCUCAACCUGGGAACUGCUUCUGAGACUGAACGACUAGAGUACGGUAGAGGGUGGUGGAAUUUCCGGUGUAGCGGUGAAAUGCGUAGAUAUCGGAAGGAACAUCAAUGGCGAAGGCAGCCACCUGGGCCUGUACUGACACUGAGACACGAAAGCGUGGGGAUCAAACAGGAUUAGAGACCCCUGUAGUCCCUGUCUCUUAUAA
rnacentral:rRNA from 1 species